rnacentral:hammerhead_ribozyme from 1 species
ACACUGCUGAAGAGUCCAGCAAUAGGACGAAACAGCCGUCCAGUGC